AGAGUUUGAUCCUGGCUCAGAUUGAACGCUGGCGGCAUGCCUAACACAUGCAAGUCGAACGGCAGCGCGGGGGCAACCCUGGCGGCGAGUGGCGGACGGGUGAGGAAUGCAUAGGAAUCUGCCCGGUUGUGGGGGAUAACGUAGGGGAACUUACGCUAAUACCGCAUACGACCUUCGGGUGAAAGUGGGGGACCUUCGGGCCUCACGCGAUCGGAUGAGCCUAUGCCCGAUUAGCUAGUUGGCGGGGUAAGAGCCCACCAAGGCGACGAUCGGUAGCUGGUCUGAGAGGAUGAUCAGCCACACUGGGACUGAGACACGGCCCAGACUCCUACGGGAGGCAGCAGUGGGGAAUAUUGGACAAUGGGCGCAAGCCUGAUCCAGCAAUGCCGCGUGUGUGAAGAAGGCCUUCGGGUUGUAAAGCACUUUUGUUCGGGAAGAAAUCCGUGAGGUUAAUACCCUUACGGGAUGACGGUACCGAAAGAAUAAGCACCGGCUAACUUCGUGCCAGCAGCCGCGGUAAUACGAAGGGUGCAAGCGUUAAUCGGAAUUACUGGGCGUAAAGCGUGCGUAGGCGGUUUGUUAAGUCAGAUGUGAAAGCCCCGGGCUCAACCUGGGAACUGCAUUUGAUACUGGCAGGCUAGAGUGCGGUAGAGGGUGGUGGAAUUCCCGGUGUAGCGGUGAAAUGCGUAGAGAUCGGGAGGAACAUCCGUGGCGAAGGCGGCCAC
rnacentral:rRNA from 1 species